rnacentral:rRNA from 1 species
CACUCCUGCGGGAGGCAGCAGUGGGGAAUUUUGGACAAUGGGCGAAAGCCUGAUCCAGCAAUGCCGCGUGUGUGAAGAAGGCCUUCGGGUUGUAAAGCACUUUUGUCCGGAAAGAAAUCCUUGGCUCUAAUACAGUCGGGGGAUGACGGUACCGGAAGAAUAAGCACCGGCUAACUACGUGCCAGCAGCCGCGGUAAUACGUAGGGUGCGAGCGUUAAUCGGAAUUACUGGGCGUAAAGCGUGCGCAGGCGGUUUGCUAAGACCGAUGUGAAAUCCCCGGGCUCAACCUGGGAACUGCAUUGGUGACUGGCAGGCUAGAGUAUGGCAGAGGGGGGUAGAAUUCCACGUGUAGCAGUGAAAUGCGUAGAGAUGUGGAGGAAUACCGAUGGCGAAGGCAGCCCCCUGGGCCAAUACUGACGCUCAUGCACGAAAGCGGGGGGAGCAAACAGGAUUAGAAACCCCUGUAGUCCC